rnacentral:rRNA from 1 species
GUCCACGCCUAACUAUGGAUACUAAGCAGGGACCACCAAAGGUUCCUUGCCGUAGCAAAGCGUUAAGUAUCCCGCCUGGGAGUAUGGUCGCAAGGCUGAAACUCAAAGGAAUUGACGGGGCUCACACAAGCGGUGGAGCAUGUUGCUUAAUUCGAUGCAACGCGAAGAACCUUACCCGGGCUCGAAGCGUACGGAUUAGCUCUAUGAAAGUAGAGUAACUCCUUAACCGGUGGAACGUACGAAGGUGUUGCAUGGCUGUCGU